GGGCUUAGUCGCUCUGUGGCAUGUGGGAUCUUCGCAAAUCAGGGAUUGAACCCCUGUCUCCUUACCAUUGAGCCAUCGGAGAAGCCCUUAACUUUUAAACACUAUUAACAAAUACGAGCUUCCCAGGUGGCACUAGUGGUAAAGAAUCUGCCUGCCAAUGCAAGUAACACAAGAGAUGAGGGUUGAUCCCUGGGUCAGGAAGACACCCUGGAGGAGGAAAUGGCAACCCACUCUGGUAAUUUUGCUGGGAGAAUUUCAUGGACAGAGGAGCCUAGGGGACUACAGUCUAUGGGAUUGCAAAGAGUUGAACACGACUGAGCGUCUGAGCACAACAGAUACAAAAUCCAACAGGUACAAAAAGAUAAACAGCAUAAACUGUCUCCCUCUUUCACUUAUCAUGGCUCUCCAGUUCCCCUCCUCAGCAGACACCACGUGAAAAAGUUUUUUUUGUCUCUCUGCAGAGAGUCUUUGCCAGUAUGAGGAAAUCCUCAGUCUCUUCUCUUUCUAUACAAACAGAAGCCUCCUGCCCAGACCUUCUGCACCUUGCUUUUUCCUCCACAGAGUACCGGAGUGCAGGGGUUAAUAAUGAGCCUUCUGUUGCUCUGGCUAAGCCAUGAGAAAAUCACCAUAAUUUUUACGGAAAUUGGAAUAGAAUUCCAAGCAAAGUAUAGCAAUACAGUAGAAUCUAAACAAAAGUACAUCGGGUUGAUUAGUUGGGGUCAUCAUGCCCUGCUAAGCCAAGGAUAAGCAUAGUGUGGACCUUGGAACACUGGGUCAGCGCAAAUUCAGAACGCUGCUUGUGCACACACCAAGAUGUUUUCCCAAAGCAUAUGUGGGUCUAUGACCUCCAGCUGGGUGAUACCCCUUGUACAAGAAAUUAGCAAAGAUAGUUCAAAGUAAUCAAUAAAAUGGGAGACGUGACUGGGGACACAGGAGGCUGAUUUUAUUGUAACACAACAGAUACUUUCUGCUUGCCAAGACACUAAAUAAAUAAAAGUGAUUUCGCUCCAAGGAGCAGGGCUCUUGAUCCUAGAGGUCUUGAGUCUCCCGGUCCCAUCUUUAAGACUUUAAUUCUGUCUCUAGUUUCUUUUUCCAAACUGUGCGUGGAUUACUUUCGAUCCCUACCUGUUGCGCCGGCUGCAGCAAGUGACACCCAAGGUGGGGCUCAAAAGCGAAGGAUCGCUGAGAGCGAAGCUAAAGUUGAAAUAUCAGCACAGGGUCCUGAGGAAGAAUGGGGUGAGGCCUCUGAAAAUCUCCUUUUGGGAGAAGGUCUAGAACCUGUGUGGAUUCCAGCUCAUGGAGUAAAACUGAGCAGAAACAGCCAGUGACUCCAGGCAACCUGACCAUGGCUACGCUUGCCCUGAUAUCACAGAAUAUAAACGAUCUGAACACACCUGGGAAAAUGUUAGACGGCACUUGCAGGGCCAUACAGCCGACAACCUUACUCUAGAUGUUAAAAAGCUACAAGCAAGAAUUACUGGCAUACAGCAUGCUUCUCUUAGACUAUUACCAGGUACAGAUACACUUCAAGGGGUAGCAGAAGGCCUUAACUCAUUAAAUCCUCUUGGGUGGAUCAAAGGUAUUGGAGGUGUUCUCAUUGGAACACUAGCUAUGUUUUGCUGUUUCACUAUAAUCUUCUGUUUAGUCCUCAGAUGCACACAAAAAGCCCUCCAAAAACUAAUGAAGAAAGAAGUUGCGAGAUCGACGUAUUUUCUGCCACAAAAACAAAAAGAGGGAAAUGCAGGGGUUAACAGUCAGCCUGUUGCUCUGGCUAAGCCAUGAGAAAAUCACCAUGGGAAAAGAAUAAAAGCAAAAUAUAGCAAUACAGUACAAUCUAAACAAAGUACAUCAGGUUGAUUAGUUGGGGUUGUCAUGCCCUGCUGCUGCUGCUGCUGCUAAGUCGCUUCAGUCGUGUCCGACUCUGUGACCCCAUAGAUGGCAGCCUACCAGGCUCCCCCGUCCCUGGGAUUCUCCAGGCAAGAACACUGGAGUGGGU